rnacentral:lncRNA from 1 species
GGUUGCAUAAGCAGUAUGUCGGCUCGUUAGGAUCGAUGGGAAGGUCUGGGGGAGAAGCUUCCCGCUCUGCUUUAGCCUUGGAUCGUUUCUUCUUCUUGGACGUUUUUGCCUUCUUCUCCUUUGGAGUUCCUGAAGUGAUGUCAUCGUGGUCAUGAUUAUUCGAAGCAUUUUCUCGAUUCUCGUUAUUUCUUUGCCGCCUCGACCUCUUAUUGUUGGGCUUCUCAGAUUGAGCGAUUGUCUCAUUCUUUGACUUAUCCUGGCUGGCUUUCCCGCUGUUUCCAGUGGUGUCGUUAGUCUCUUGGCAAGUCUCAAACAGUUCCACAUGGCUGUCCACCUGCCUGGAUCUGUUCUCGACCAGCUCCACCAUUUGACUGACGAUUUGGAUCUUCUCAUCUCCCAGCUCCUGACUCCGAAUCAAUGCCCUCUGUAUGCAGUGCAGCAUUCUUCUCUUCUGCACGGCAUCGUUCUCUCGUUUAAAUUUUUCAUAGUAGUCAUCCAGGUCCUUCAGAAUCUUACUCCAGCCGACGCUCCGCCCCUCCCGAGCUCAACAAGUCGGGACGCGCAGCACUCGGCCAGCGGGGGAACCCAGCGGCAAUAAUUCCCGGCUGCUGCAGCUCUCCAGCGGUCCGUUCCCAGCGCCGGCGCCGCAGCGGCACUCCGGGACGCACGGCAGUGCC